UCCAUCGUGAGGUGGAACCGGAAGAAAGAAUUAGGUAAACUGUUGACCCGAGGGUCACAAAUCUCAAUUAAGGUGGGUAUAUGGCAGGAAAGAUGUAUGU
rfam:Solobacterium moorei F0204 genomic scaffold Scfld15, whole genome shotgun sequence.